AGUAGUUUGACUCCUGGCUCAGGACGAACGCUGGCGGCGUGCUUAACACAUGCAAGUCGAACGGUGAAGGGGAGCUUGCUUCCUGGAUCAGUGGCGAACGGGUGAGUAACACGUGAGCAACCUACCCUUGACUCUGGGAUAACAGUUGGAAACAGCUGCUAAUACCGGAUAUGACCCCUGUAGGCAUCUGUGGGGUGGAAAGCUUUUACGGUCAAGGAUGGGCUCGCGGCCUAUCAGCUUGUUGGUGAGGUAAUGGCUCACCAAGGCGUCGACGGGUAGCCGGCCUGAGAGGGCGACCGGCCACACUGGGACUGAGAUACGGCCCAGACUCCUACGGGAGGCAGCAGUGGGGAAUAUUGCGCAAUGGGCGAAAGCCUGACGCAGCAACGCCGCGUGCGGGAUGACGGCCUUCGGGUUGUAAACCGCUUUCAGCAGGGACGAAGGGUUACCUUGACGGUACCUGCAGAAGAAGCACCGGCUAACUACGUG
rnacentral:rRNA from 1 species